UUUAUACUCCCACCAUCCGGAAAUAAUUGUCAAAGAAAUAGAUGUAUCUAAACGUAUUUUAGUUCGAGAUACAUCCAUUUUUAUUCAUUUCUACGACAAAUAAUUUUGGACGAAGGGAGUACCUA
rfam:Triticum aestivum genome assembly, contig: Triticum_aestivum_CS42_TGACv1_scaffold_626268_7DS